rnacentral:sRNA from 1 species
AUCGAUGGGAGCUUGCUCCCUGAGAUUAGCGGCGGACGGGUGAGUAACACGUGGGCAACCUGCCUAUAAGACUGGGAUAACUUCGGGAAACCGGAGCUAAUACCGGAUAAUUCUUUUCCUCUCAUGAGGAAAAGCUGAAAGACGGUUUACGCUGUCACUUAUAGUAUGGGCCCGCGGCGCAUUAGCUAGUUGGUGAGGUAACGGCUCACCAAGGCAAGGAUGCGUAGCCGACCUGAGAGGGUGAUCGGCCACACUGGGACUGAGACACGGCCCAGACGACUACGGGAGGCAGCAGUGGUG